CGUUCAGUGCAUUUCAUGCUCUGCCAGGUAGCAAUCUUGCUCUUCCACAGCGAGCCCUUCUCAAUGUUUUGUUAAUAUUGUCAGUCGCCAUUUCUUUCGCUGCUUUUAUUGCGUUUCGUCUAGGUCGUUUCUGCUGUUCUCAAUGUCGUCGGAAAAAGUUUCCUGUUGAAACAAAGAAGAAGAAUUAAACUUUUUCUUCUCCCUACCGGUUAUUAAUUCAAAAAAUAUAAUUUUUUGGCAGACUGCUAAAAUACCUACUACGCACGAAAGUGUUUUGAAACAGGUACAGUAGCAAAUGACAGUUCUCCAUGAAAAAAAUAGAUUUUAGUUGUCAUAAUACCUUGCAAUGGAUCAACUUUCGGCAUUGCGUGUAACUUCUUUCAUUUUACUUCUUUCGUGCCACUUUACCAUAAGUAACGGAAAGGUUCAUACCGAAUUAGGGAAUGUUCUCAUUUUUAACCAGAAAGUGAUAACUUGCCAGUAGACGUUUUUGCUGACAAUAAAAUAACAAAUUAAAUAAACGAAAUGCGACUGCACUGCGUCACAAUCCUGCAAUACACCAGCUGGGCAUUCUACCUUUAAGAGGAAUUUUUUUUAAUAAGAAACAAAAUUUUAUGAAGGCUUACCUGAUAAUCCAUCUAAGACGAUAGCUUCACAACACGCUGCUAGUUCCUGGAACAACUAUAAAGUCUUUGAGUACAAAACCAGCGAAGUGGUAACAAGAAUUGUUUCAACUCAUAAUGCAAAUACCUGGAAACGCGAUUCUUACGCCAAUGGUGGAACACGAGAAGUAGUGGUCCUUCGAGGGAGUGAUUUGCGUCUACCUGAGUGCUAUUUACGUAAAAUUAACUUGAACAAAGCUGCUUCUCCGACUUUUCUACAGGAUUGCACUCAAUGACCUUUGACUAAAUUGGGGGCGUCUUGGUAGCAGUGAGUCUCGUUCAUGUCGUAAUGACUUUGCUCCAAACGCAACUAAUAAUCCGUCAUUCAGAUUUCGGAAGGGCUCCAUAGUAGAGUUCAAGAAGCAAGCACACUUCACUCUAUCCGAUUAAUUGCUGUCCUUUAUGCCAAAUGUACGAUAUGUUUACUAUACAUGAGUACAUCAUUAGAACGUCAA